rnacentral:rRNA from 1 species
CUUCUUGAAUUUAUGAGAAGUCGAUUCUGUCCACUGAGAAUUAUUGAAGGACCGCGGUAUUUUGACCGUGCAAAGGUAGCAUAAUCAUUAGUUUUUUAAUUGGAAACUGGAAUGAAUGAUUUAACGAAAUAAUUAGUGUCUCUGGUAUAAUUAAUUGAAUUUUACUUUUAAGUUAAAAGGCUUAAGUACUAAUAAGGGACGAGAAGACCCUAUAGAUCUUUAUGUUAAUUUUAAUAUUAUUAUUUUGGAUGUAUGGUUAUAUUAUUAAGUUUAAUAUUGUGUUGGGGUGAUAUGAGAAUAUAAUAACUUCUUAAUUUUUAACUUUGAUAGAUGAAUUUAAGAUCCUAUAUUUAUGGAAUAAAGAUUAAGAUACCUUAGGGAUAACAGCGUAAUUUUAUUGGAAAGUUCUUAUUGAUAAUGAAGAUUGCGACCUCGAUGUUGGAUUAAGAAUAUACAUAUAUUGGUGUAGAUGCUGAUGUUAUUGGUCUGUUC